rnacentral:rRNA from 1 species
ACCUAGCGGCGGACGGGUGAGUAAUGCUUAGGAAUCUGCCUAUUAGUGGGGGACAACAUUCCGAAAGGAAUGCUAAUACCGCAUACGCCCUACGGGGGAAAGCAGGGGAUCUUCGGACCUUGCGCUAAUAGAUGAGCCUAAGUCAGAUUAGCUAGUUGGUGGGGUAAAGGCCUACCAAGGCGACGAUCUGUAGCGGGUCUGAGAGGAUGAUCCGCCACACUGGGACUGAGACACGGCCCAGACUCCUACGGGAGGCAGCAGUGGGGAAUAUUGGACAAUGGGCGCAAGCCUGAUCCAGCCAUGCCGCGUGUGUGAAGAAGGCCUUUUGGUUGUAAAGCACUUUAAGCGAGGAGGAGGCUACUUAGAUUAAUACUCUAGGAUAGUGGACGUUACUCGCAGAAUAAGCACCGGCUAACUCUGUGCCAGCAGCCGCGGUAAUACAGAGGGUGCGAGCGUUAAUCGGAUUUACUGGGCGUAAAGCGUGCGUAGGCGGCUUUUUAAGUCGGAUGUGAAAUCCCUGAGCUUAACUUAGGAAUUGCAUUCGAUACUGGGAAGCUAGAGUAUGGGAGAGGAUGGUAGAAUUCCAGG